GACGAACGCUGGCGGCGUGCCUAAUACAUGCAAGUAGAACGCACAGUUUAUACCGUAGCUUGCUACACCAUAGACUGUGAGUUGCGAACGGGUGAGUAACGCGUAGGUAACCUGCCUGGUAGCGGGGGAUAACUAUUGGAAACGAUAGCUAAUACCGCAUAAUAUUAAUUAUUGCAUGAUAAUUAAUUGAAAGGUGCAAUUGCACCACUACCAGAUGGACCUGCGUUGUAUUAGCUAGUAGGUGAGGUAACGGCCCACCUAGGCGACGAUACAUAGCCGACCUUGGAGGGUGAUCGGCCACACUGGGACUGGGACACGGCCCAGAAUCCUACGGGAGGCAGCAGUAGGGAAUUUUCGGCAAUGGACGAAAGUCUGACCGCGCAACGCCGCGUGAGUGAAGAAGGUUUUCGGAUCGUAAAGCUCUGUUUUUAGAGAAGAACGGGUGUGAGAGUGGAAAGUUCACACUGUGACGGUAUCUUACCAGAAAGGGACGGCUAACUACGUG
rnacentral:rRNA from 1 species